rnacentral:rRNA from 1 species
CCUACGGGAGGCAGCAGUGGGGAAUAUUGCACAAUGGGGGAAACCCUGAUGCAGCGACGCCGCGUGAGCGAUGAAGUCUUUCGGUAUGUAAAGCUCCAUUAGCAGGGAAGAAAAUGACGGUACCUGACUAAGACUCCCCGGCUAACUACGUGCCAGCAGCCGCGGUACUACGUAGGGGGCAAGCGUUAUCCGGAUUUACUGGGUGUAAAGGGAGCGUAGACGGCGGGGCAAGCCAGAUGUGAAAGCCCGGGGCUCAACCCCGGGACUGCAUUUGGAACUGUAUAGCUGGAGUGUAGGGGAGGCAGGCGGAAUGCCUGGUGUAGCGGUGAAAUGCGUAGAUAUUAGGCAGAACACCAGUGGCGAAGGCGGCCUGCUGGACGAUGACUGACGUUGAGGCUCGAAAGCGUGGGGAGCAAACAGGAUUAGAUACCCCUGUAGUC